rnacentral:rRNA from 1 species
AGUGAGCGCUGGCGGUAGGCCUAACACAUGCAAGUCGAACGGCAGCACAGUAAGAGCUUGCUCUUACGGGUGGCGAGUGGCGGACGGGUGAGGAAUACAUCGGAAUCUACUUUUUCGUGGGGGAUAACGUAGGGAAACUUACGCUAAUACCGCAUACGACCUACGGGUGAAAGCAGGGGAUCUUCGGACCUUGCGCGAUUGAAUGAGCCGAUGUCGGAUUAGCUAGUUGGCGGGGUAAAGGCCCACCAAGGCGACGAUCCGUAGCUGGUCUGAGAGGAUGAUCGGCAACACUGAAACUGAGACACGGUCCAGACUCCUACGGGAGGCAGCAGUGGGGAAUAUUGGACAAUGGGCGCAAGCCUGAUCCAGCCAUACCGCGUGGGUGAAGAAGGCCUUCGGGUUGUAAAGCCCUUUUGUUGGGAAAGAAAAGCAGCAGGUUAAUACCCCGCUGUUCUGACGGUACCCAAAGAAUAAGCACCGGCUAACUUCGU